CCGGCGAUGCGCGACGCGCAGCGGCCACAGUUCGCCGGUGGCCGCGCCGAAGUCAAGUCGUCGCUCGUGCCGUGGCCUCCCUCCACACGCCGUCGCCUCCACCUCGCCGUGCGACUGCCCAUGCCGCGCCCACGCUUUACCCAUGCGACGACUAGCGCCAGUCCGCUGACCGCCACUGCUCGCCCGUCCUCGCCGUCCCCGUCCUUGCCCAUUGCUCGGCGUCGCAUCGCCACCUGCUCCGCCCGGCCAUACCGUGGCCCAUGCCGCGACCGCUCGCGCCGGUCACGGCGCUGCCGCCGCGCAAGCGCACGGUCCGGCCGGCCCCUCCUCGCCCGUGCCGUCUCUGCUCGACAGCGCACGGCCGCCUUGCCUCGGCCUUAUCUUCCCAAGCCGCUGCCGCAAGCCUCUCUCUCCCGCUGUUCUUUCUCGCAUGAGCGAGCAAGCAGCUGCGGCCAAGCCAUCUCAGGUCCUCUGCUCCUCCCUUGCUCGAGCAGAGCAAGCAGACCAGCGCCCCUCUCACAAGCUCCAUCCCCUUCUCUGAUUUCCUCCACCAAGCAGCUGCUCCCCUCUUCCAUGCUGCACGAGCUAGCAGCUUGAGCUCUUCGUUGUUCUGUCCAGCGAACAAGACACCACCAGCAGCAGCACACCCCAGCGCCGCACAGCCGACGAGCCCAGCUUUGCCUCUGCCCGAGGAAGAUGCCAACCGAGGCUGCAUCCACGACACCAAGUGACCUGCUACCUCUCCGUCAAGCCACAGCUGCCAGGACGCCGACGACCCUGCUUGCCAUGACAUUGCCUUCCUCGUCUACAACCCGUUUGCCAGCCGGCGUCAUCUCCUAUUUCUACACCAAGCUGCACUUGCCUGAGGUCGCCUUCAUUCACUUCGUGCUUGGCACCGCUACUGACGACGUGGAGUACGAGCUUGUGGCUGUGGAGCAGGCGUAGCCGCGAAGUCCGGAAGGAGUAUCCAAAAGGUCCGGCCCAAGAUCCGGAAGGGGCUUAAUGCCCAGUUGACACUAACUCUACCGUUUGGGAGGCAAACUUCGGAGCAUAAUCCUUACUUUUAAAAUUAUACAGUGUCCUUAUUUAUAUAUCUAUGCAUUUACGUGCCUGGUUGUUGAAUGAAACUAUAGAUGCACGAUUCCUAGGAAUCCCAAAUUAAAUACUAGUAUGUGUAGGUCGAAGAAAUGCCAUACUUAAUUAAGAAUGGUAGAAGCUGAGUGAUUGCCUGUCAUUCGCGAGAUUAGGUUCAUUUACUUGUAUGGUUAAAACUGAAAUGAAUGGUUCACAUCAGAAAUUGAGAAUGAAUCAACGAGAAAGGAAAAAUGGAGAUCGUG